GUUCCACAUGUGAGUGUUGCCUUCCCUCCUGCCUUACGAAUUUCAGAUCAGCAGUGGAGCUGCAGGUCCAAAUGAGGACCCACAUAGUCAACACAUUAGUCAAGUGGAGAGACAUCAUCCUCCUUGUCUGGUGCCACAUCAAGGGCCUGUUGUCCCAGGAGAGACUUGUUAAAGAUGAAGGGCAGAGCCACCAGGUCCGUGCUGUGUGGCGUGAAAUGGCUGAGUGCAUCACCCUCCAGCUCAGCCCUGCUCCCCUCCUGGCAGCCUGGCCCCAAGAGCUUCCCAGUGGACCACUUCACCACCUUGUGUCCG
rnacentral:lncRNA from 1 species